UUUAUUUAAUAAAUUUCGCAGGCCCAGCACAAGUAACACAAGCCCAGCGCCAGGCCCAAGAAUUCCCGGCCCAAAACCCAUUAAGGGUUUGGAUCUGCUUUUGCAGCAAGCAACAGCAGCCGUUGCUGCUUUCUUCUUCCGUCAGCCUACCGCCGCCCUCUUUCCAGACAGCCCGCCUCCGCCGCGAUUGGAGCAGCGACGCCAUCGACGUCGCGCGGCCUCGCCGGACGGAUACUCGCCGGUCGUGGCUCAAAGCCGCGUCGGAGGAAAGCGGCGACGUCUCCAGAUGCCUGCCUUCGUCCUCACCGUUCCUCGGCCAUUCCGACAGAAGGAGCAUGAAGCUUCCCGUCACCGUUUACAGCCGCGGAUCCGCCGCCUCCGCGCAAGACCUCCACCAUCGCCGGACUCCAAGUCCGAGUUGGCGGGUCUGUUAUAGAGGUGCAGCGGACGUCGGCUCGAAGCCACGACGCACCGUCGCCGCCUCGUCAGGGGCGGAUCCAAUGAAGGGCGGUGGGGGUACGGCUGUACCCCAAAAAAAAGAAAUUUCUGUAAUAGUAUCAUGAUUAUGAGAUUAACUUAGUAUUUGUCUUAUUUUUGUACCCUCAACUUUCAAACCGGCCAAAUCACUACAAGUAAAUAUUACUCCUUGGGCUUUGGGCCCAAGCCAACCAACUAAAAGUUAACAAACGUGUAUUAGACAGAGUUAGUUAAAAAAAGUUUAGAGUGAGAGAUUAGAUUUUAAGAAAUAGGUCAGACAUAAGCAUUGUCCUCUGAAGAUGCACCAUAGAGCAAAUUAAAAAAAUUUAGUGCGUGAAAGUGAGAGUCAGUUUCGGGGUAAGAAAAUAUUUUAUUAAUUUUAAAUACAUCACAUUUUUUACUGUUUUAUUUAAAACUAGUACAUCCAUCCGUGCGAUGCACGGUGAGUAUCAAAAUUAAACGACACACUUAAAUAAAUAAAUAUAAAUAUUAAAUAUGAUCAAAAUAUAUGAAAAUACUGCCUCCGUCCCUGAAAUAAGUUCCUCUUUGGGGACGACACGGGUUUUAAGGAAAAGUUGUAAAGUGUAUUGAUAGUGGAAAAAAAAUGUGUUAUAAUUAGUAUUGAGAGUGGUGAAAAGGUGAUAAGAUGAAAAAGUGAUAUAAUUAGUAUUGAUAGUGGUGAAAAAGUGAAAAGUAAGAAUAAAUAAAGUAUUAUUAGUGGUGGGAUAGUUGUCCAAAAAUAGAAAGAAAGAAAGAUGAACUUAUUUGGGGGACGUCCCAAAAAAAAAAAAGAGGAAUUUAUUUCAGGGAUGGAUGAAGUAUAAAUUAUUUACUCCCUCCGUCCCACGAAUCUUGACACGUUUGGAUUCGGCACGGGAUUUAAGGAGUUGUAGAUUAGUGUUUUAAGUUUGUAGUUAAUAAAAUAUAAAAGUGAUAAAGUAGGAGAGAGAAUGUAAUAAUUAUUACCAAAAUGGAAACGUGUCAAGAUUCGUGGGACGGAGGGAGUACUUAAUAAAAAAUCUGAAUUUAAAAAUAAAUAAAUUUUUACACGUUUAUAUAAGAUAUAAUGAUAAUUAUAAUUAUUAGUAAUAUAAACAUUUUAUAUAAUCUUAAGAUAAAUACAAAGUAAAAUAUGUUUUCAACUAUAACAAAAGCAAUAUUUGUAUUGUGUUUAUAUGAUCUAUAUUUAUGUAUGUGACUUCAAAUCUCAUAACUUUAUGGAAAAUAUGUAUUUUUAAAUUUAAAAAUCACUAUUUAUGAAAAUGUUAUAGAUUCAAUCGCAAAACUAUUCAGUCAUGAAUUUUCGUUUUAUAUAAUGAUGUUGUUUUAGUCAUGCAUUUGCUAAAUUAUUGCCAUGUAAGUUUAUUUAUUAUUGUACUAAUGUCAUUGUUAUAUUUUAAUCAUUAGCUCACACUUAAUUUAAAAGAUUUGGUUCACAGUUAAAUUAAAUUAAUUGUCCACACUUAAUAUAAAAAAAUGUAGUCACUUAAAAGUUCAAAUAUAUUAUUGCUAAAAGUUCAUAUUUAAAUAGUUAAAUAUACCCUAAUUUUAUUUUAAAAAAAUAAAAUAAAGUACACAUACAAAUAUAUUUAUGUUAAAAGUUCAUAGUUAAAUAGCCUAAAUUUAAUUUAAAAUGUCAAAAAUAGUAAAAAAAAAUAAUUAAAAUUAAUCAACAAAAUGGCAAAACAUAAUUUAUGGUCAAAUUUAAUCAAUAUAUUUACGGUAUAAUGGGCUAUAAUUAGGAGUAUUUACUUAAAAUCUUUGAAGUUUUACUUGGGUAUACGAAAUAAAGUUAUUUUUAAUUCAUCUAAAAUAGUUGUGGUCGUUCCUAAAAAAAUACUUACGGUCAUUUCACAUGAUUUUUUCACUGAUCUAAACUACACAAAAGCCCACAAAAGCCCAUAAUUUUUGCCAGAAAGAAAAAGACCCACGAUUCUUUUAGUCAUUGGAUUCCAGAACUCGAACUCAGACCGGCAAAUACAAAAUAAAAGCCCUAAUUCAAUUAUAUUUCACCCAUUCCGACCAUCCCAAUCCAGCGCCGCUUCGUCGUCUUCUUCUUCAUCUUCUUCUUAUUUUAUGCGUCAAGGAGAGAAAGUGAGCAACAACAGCAGAGAGAAUAUUAUUUCAACAGAGAAUAAGGAAGAUCUGGCAACCACCGCACUGAAGAAAUUGUUGCCGCCUCUCGCCGAAUUGACGAUUAAGGGGGCCGAUCUAACUGCUGGAGGAGAUUCUGUACCGAAAAGGUCUCGCUGGCGGUCGAGCCACCUUCGUUCAUGGUUUCACUGUGCUAUAGUUCUUUUUUCUUUUUUAUUUUUAUAAAAAUUUUGCCUUUCGUGUAAUAUAUGUGUGAUAAAUAUCAGUUGAAGUUGUUGAUGUUCAAUAUUAUGCAUAAUUAAGGAAAUAUUGUGGAGAUCAAGCAUCUUUUAAUCGAAAAAAUGAGAUCUGAUAUUUGAACAUAAUUGUUGAUUUGAAGAUGUUGAAUGAAUUUAUCCGUGUGUAUGCUGAAUUCUGCUUCUUCUUUUCUUAGAUCAAUCCCACGUUCAUCAAUCCACGUUUAUUUGAACAUGUCUACAAUUUUGAAAUUAAAAAGAUAACUGUCAAAAUAUUUGCCGGGAAUUUAUUACCGUUAAACUCCUACUUUAUAUUAUAUAUAGAUUCGUAUUUUUUUUAUCCUUAUAUAUAUAGUGCACAUAAUCUAUUUGAUAAAAUGACUAACUCAUUUGUAAAAUAUUUGUAAGGUAUUAUUUUUAACAUUAAAAUAAGUAUAUUUUAUAUUUUAUGUUUAUGAGAUUAUUUUUUUCGUACCCCCAAUUUAAAAUUCCUGGAUCCGCCACUGCGCCUCGUUCAUCAAAGUGCUCGGCUUGGAUCCGGCGAAAGGCCCAGCAAAGUCUCCCAAUUUCAGAAAAUGGUUUCAAAAUUUUCCAAUUCCAAAAUCGACAAUUUUAAAAACCA
rnacentral:lncRNA from 1 species